rnacentral:rRNA from 1 species
GAUCAUGGCUCAGGAUGAACGCUGGCGGCGUGCUUAACACAUGCAAGUCGAACGAAGCACUUUGAUUGAUUUCUUCGGAAUGAAGUUUUGUGACUGAGUGGCGGACGGGUGAGUAACGCGUGGGUAACCUACCUCAUACAGGGGGAUAACAGUUGGAAACGACUGCUAAUACCGCAUAAGCGCACAGGAUUGCAUGAUCCAGUGUGAAAAACUCCGGUGGUAUGAGAUGGACCCG